rnacentral:rRNA from 1 species
GACGAACGCUGGCGGCGUGCCUAAUACAUGCAAGUCGAACGAGAGCGACCGGUGCUUGCACUGGUCAAUCUAGUGGCGAACGGGUGAGUAACACGUGGGUAACCUGCCCAUCAGAGGGGGAUAACAUCCGGAAACGGAUGCUAAAACCGCAUAGGUCUUCGAGCCGCAUGGCUUGAAGAGGAAAAGAGGCGCAAGCUUCUGCUGAUGGAUGGACCCGCGGUGCAUUAGCUAGUUGGUGAGGUAACGGCUCACCAAGGCCGUGAUGCAUAGCCGACCUGAGAGGGUGAUCGGCCACAUUGGGACUGAGACACGGCCCAAACUCCUACGGGAGGCAGCAGUAGGGAAUCUUCCGCAAUGGACGCAAGUCUGACGGAGCAACGCCGCGUGAGUGGAGAAGGUUUUCGGAUCGUAAAACUCUGUUGUUAGAGAAGAACAAGUGCUAGAGUAACUGUUAGCGCCUUGACGGUAUCUAACCAGAAAGCCACGGCUAACUACGUG